UACAGAGGGGGCAAGCGUUGUUCGGAAUUACUGGGCGUAAAGGGCGCGUAGGCGGCCUGCUAAGUCGAACGUGAAAUCCCUGGGCUCAACCCAGGAACUGCGUCCGAGACUGGAAGGCUCGAAUCCGGGAGAGGGAUGUGGAAUUCCAGGUGUAGCGGUGAAAUGCGUAGAUAUCUGGAGGAACAUCGGUGGCGAAGGCGGCAUCCUGGACCGGUAUUGACGCUGAGGCGCGAAAGCCAGGGGAGCAAACGGG
rnacentral:rRNA from 1 species